rnacentral:misc_RNA from 1 species
GAUGAAGAACGCAGCGAAAUGCGAUAAAUAAUGUGAAUUGCAGAAUUCAGUGAAUCAUCGAGUCUUUGAACGCACAUUGCGCCCCCUGGUAUUCCGGGGGGCAUGCCUGUCCGAGCGUCAUUGCUGCCCUCAAGCACGGCUUGUGUGUUGGGCCCCCGUCCCCCCCUCCCGGGGGACGGGCCCGAAAGGCAGCGGCGGCACCGCGUCCGGUCCUCGAGCGUAUGGGGCUUUGUCACCCGCUCUGUAGGCCCGGCCGGCGCCUGCCGACCACCAUCAAUCUUUUUUCAGGUUGACCUCGGAUCAGGUAGGGAUACCCGCUGAACUUAAGCAUAUCAAUAAGCGGAGG